rnacentral:rRNA from 1 species
AGAGUGAACGCUGGCGGUAGGCCUAACACAUGCAAGUCGAACGGCAGCACAGUGGUAGCAAUACCAUGGGUGGCGAGUGGCGGACGGGUGAGGAAUACAUCGGAAUCUACCUUUUCGUGGGGGAUAACGUAGGGAAACUUACGCUAAUACCGCAUACGCCCUUCGGGGGAAAGCCGGGGAUCGCAAGACCUGGCGCGGAUAGAUGAGCCGAUGUCGGAUUAGCUAGUUGGUGAGGUAAUGGCUCACCAAGGCGACGAUCCGUAGCUGGUCUGAGAGGAUGAUCAGCCACACUGGAACUGAGACACGGUCCAGACUCCUACGGGAGCAGCAGUGGGAAUAUUGGACAAUGGGCGCAAGCCUGAUCCAGCCAUACCGCGUGGGUGAAAGAAGGCCUCGGUUGUAAAGUCCUUUGUUGGAAAGAAAAGACAAUCGUUAAGUACCGGUUGUUCGUGUACGGUACCCAAAGAAUAAGCAACCGGCUAACUCGUGCCUAGUAG